GACGAACGCUGGCGGCGUGCCUAACACAUGCAAGUCGAACGGAAAGGCCCUGCUCUUGUGUGUUGCUUGUGUGGCGAGCGGGUGAGUAUCACGUGAGUAUCCUGUCCUUGACUUUGUGAUAACUCCUCGAAACUGGGGCGAAUAUCGCAGAGGAUCUCCUGCUGCGUGGUGGUGGUUGGAAAGUUUCGGCGGUUGGGGCUGGACUGGCGGCUUAUCAGCUGGUUGGGCGGGUAGUGGCGUACCAAGGGUUUGACGGGUAGCCUGCCUGAGAGGGGUACCGGCCACAUUGGGACUGAGGGACGGACCAGAAGCCUACGGGAGGCAGCAGUGGAGAGCCUUGCACAAUGGGGGGACGCCAGUUGCAGCAACGCUGGGUGCGGAAUGACGGCCUUCGGGUUGUAAACAGAUUUCGCCUGUGCCGAAGCGUGAGUGACGGUAAUGGGUAAAGAAGCACCGGCUAACUACGUG
rnacentral:rRNA from 1 species